UCGAGCUACGAAGUGGCCAAAUGGUAAGCUUUUAAGUUAAAACAUUCACCUUUAAAAUCUUAUGAUGUUCAUUUAAUAUUAUUUUCCUUAUUGAGCAUAUGGAAUUCACUCUUUCUAUCCCUCCCCCCAGAUGGGGAAGAAAAUGAGAAAUCGCAGGCUGACUUACCCUUUGAAGUCUGUGAGGAUCCUGUGGAUCCACAAAAUUUAAUUGCAUGAUUAUUUCCGCCUCUGAUGACUCUAAUAACAUAGUGAAAGAAGUGGCAUUCUUUUGUGUUUUGUUUUUGUAUUUUAUAGCCACUUUAGCCCUCAGUUAUAUGUAUGUAAUUGGAACUCAUACAUAUAUAUGUUUAUAAGGGAUUUAUAUUAAUUGUUCCGCUGCAUAAACUUUUAUCAUGCACUAAUUAUUCUAAAUCUGUAUCUGACACCC
rnacentral:lncRNA from 1 species